UGUAAAAGAGAGAGAAGAAAUGAAUAAAAAUGAGUAUGUGUUUUUCAACAAGGUUGUGCCCAGACAUGAAAGGAGGAGGACAUGUUGGGAAGAUGAAGCAAUUCAGAGCAAGUGAGAGGGAGAAAGAGAGGGAAACAGAGGAUGAAUAUGAUCAAAUGUACUACACAUAUAUAUGAACUUUUCAAAAUAUUUUUAAAUGAGUAUAAGUUUGUUAAUAUUUUGAAACUGGAAAUUUCACUGUAAUCAAACUUUAUUUUUAAAAUUAACUUACUUACUUUUAAGUCCCAAAUUCAAUCAUUCACAAAUCAGUUUUAUUUCUUAUUCACCAAUCAGUUUACCUUUUUCUGCCCUUCCCUCUCUGAUUGUAUUAAAUAAGAUCCAGCAUGGUGUUGAGUAGGAGUUGUGACAGCAUGCAGCAUCACUCUCAAACUUAGGAAAGAAUCAUACAGUUUCUCCACAUAAGUAAGACAUUUCUUUCAAGAUAUUUGUAACUGCUCCUUGUUAAGACUCAUCCCCUGGAUUCCACUUUUCUCAGAGCUUAGUUUUUGUAUUUUUCUAUGAAUGGGUACUAGACUUUAUGAAAUGUACUUCUCGGGAUUUACCUAUCUGAAAAUAUUGUUUUUCAUGCCUAGCAAGUUGGCUCAGCAGGUGAAUGUACUGACUGAGGAGCUGGAGUUCAACCUCUGAAACCUGUGUAAAACUCAAGGAGAGAACUCUCCACAAAUUUGUCUCUGACCUCCACACUCUGACCCCAUCUCUCUCUCUCUCUCUCUCUCUCUCUCUCUCUCUCUCUCUCUCUCUCUGUCACACACACACACACAAAAUGAAUACUAAUAAAUCAAUACAGUUUUUCUUUCCUGGGCUAUUGAUAUGAGGUAUGACAAUCAUUGAUUUUCAAACUAUGAAUCAGAGUUGCAUGGAUGGAAAAAUUCCAUGUGAUCAUAAUAUACAUUUCAUUAUACACAGUACUGCAUUCAAUAUAUUAGUACUUUUUCAAAGACUUUUACACUUAUAUUUGUAAGAGAUACUGAGCUACAGCAUUUCUUUCUUGCAAUGUUUUUUGUUGGUUUGGAUAUGAAGGCUAUGCUAGCCUCAUAGGAGUGAGAAGUUAUGUUAGUUAUUUCCAUGUCAUUUUGACCAUUACCUGACAGGACGUCUUGUGGGAAGGACAGUUUACUUCCAUUCACAUUGAGUUCAAAACAUUCCUUAGUUUCUUGUGAAAAUUCCUCUUUUAACCAAAUUUAUUUAGAAAUAUACUCUUCCGGGAUUUAGAGAUUUUACUAAUUUAUCCUUUUAGUAGUCUUGUCUAGCUUUGUACUUCUAGAGUCUGUGAGUACAUUUUGUAUGAUUUCUCAUCUUUUACAUUAGUUUAGGAAUGUUUUCUGGCUCAUAAUAUAGUCAUGCAAGGUAAAUGCCCAAGGCAAGCUUGAGAAAAAUGUGUAUUUUGUUAGUUAAGUAUCAAUCAGAUCCCACUGGUUGAUGUUUCCAUUUAGUUUAACUUCGUCCUUUCUGGUUGUCUGCCUUUGGCUUUGCCAACUACAAAGAUGGGGGUGCUAAGUCUACAACUGUAACAGUGGAUUCACUAGUUUCUCCAAGAACUCCUGUCACUUUUUCCUGCUGUAUUUUGAUGAUCCAUCAUCAGACAGGUUCCUAUGUCUUUGAUGAGAAUUAAGUCUUUUGUAACUAUGCAAAGUAUAUAUCCCUAAUUAUUUUUCUUGCUCUGUUAUCUAUUCUGACUGAAACCAAUAUACCUGUACUCUUUUUCUCUUAUUAGUUAUAGCUUUCCCUAGCCAUCUACAUUUGGUUUAUUUUAAGCCAUUAUAUUUAUAGUGUGUUUUCUAUAGAUAAAAUAUAAGUGACUUUUUUGUUUGUUUUAUAUACUCUUAUAACUGCUUCUAAAUUGGUAUAUUUGGAUUGUUGAUGUUUAAUCUGAUUAUUGAUAUAGUUAAAGUGAAAGAUAUGAAGCUUUUUUGAUAACAUUAUCUUCCUGCUGUUUUUAUGUCUUCUGUCUUUUCUGAUUUCUUUAAAAAUAAUAAUUGUUAUUUAUUCUUUGAAAUUUUUGCAUAAGUAUACAAUGUAUCUUGAUCAUCAUCCACCCUCCAAUCCCCAGGAGUACCCUCCCAACACAUCUAUCUCCCUCUUAACUUUAUGUCCUCUUUUCUAUACUUUUUACUCAUUUAAUUUUGACUCACUGGAUCCAAUUAGUGCUGUCCAUGAGUACACAAGUGUAGGGUCAUCCACUGAGGUAUUGUCAUCACACAAGUGACUUUGUUUCUGCCAGUAUAGACAUCAACUGCCAAUAGUUUCUCAGCUCCUGACUGGAGCCACAUGAGCCCCUCCAACAUCAUGCUGCAAUUUUUAACUGGCUUUAUCCUGUGCAGGUCUUGUGUAGGUCACCACAACUGCUGUGGAGUCAUAUGUGCAUCAGCCAUGUCAUAUCUAGAAGACAGCAUUUCAUAGUUCUUCACCCCAUCUUUCAGCUCUUACAUUCUGUCCAGCCCCUCUUCCAAUGACAGUCAUUGAGCCUUGGGAGAUGUGGCAAAAAUUAGUUGAUAAGCAUAACACAUCUAUAGUUGUACAUUCACAGUUGUGUAUUCUCAGCACUUUGAAUAGUCACAAAUCUCUACAUAAGUUACUACUAUCCACCUAAAUAAGAACCUUAUCUAACUAAAGUAGAGAGUAACACAAAUGCAUAGACAAAACAUGGAGAUUUAGAAAGUAGUUUGAUAACAUGACUGUUUAGAAAACAAUAUCAAUAGGUUCUCCCUAUAGCCUAUAAUAUCCUUAACAAAAGGUUUUUACUGUUUAUGGAAUCAGGCAUGAGUCCCUCCUGUGGAGAAGGUCUCAAAUCCAAUUAAGAGAGCAGUAAGCUGCCCCAUAAACAAACAGUCUUGCAAGCAUUUCACCAAUGGUUCUGAAUAAGGUACUCCUAAAUCUCUAUGAACCAAAAAAAUCUUUUAUUUAUCAAAUAAGAACCAUAUGAAUAUUAGCUGAUACCAGGGGCUUAGACCUCAAGAAAUUCUAAUCUACAGUUGGCAUCUGUGUUGCAAAAUAGUUAGAAAGGGAAAAAUUAGGAGUGAAUUAGUUGGAGCCAUAAAUGAUCAUUAUAGCAGCCAUAGGAUGUCCAAGAGACCCUUAAACAGAUUUUUAGUAGAGGAGAAAAGGUGCUGGUAGAUAUUACCAAUAUGCAGAGCUGGGGAAGAAUGAAAUGAAUGAAUCCCACAGCUAAUAUACAUCUGCUGGUCACCCUGAACUGAAGCAAAUAAACACAGUAGCUACUGUCCACUCUGAGAGUCCUUACUCACCUACAACCAGGGUACUCAUGGUGCAGUUGAUGGAUGAACUUCAGGGUAUUCUUGAUUCCUCAGAUAUUUUUGUACAUGUAGUUAUAUAAAAAAAAUAUGGUUUUUCCAAGCUGUUAGGAUGGAUAUAUCAUGUGGAAAAGUAAAAAGAAUGGGUAAAUUAUUCAAGAAUUUGUCCUCAUUUGCAUAAAUUCUUACUUUUUCCAAUGAACAGAUAAAAGAUGUUCUCUCUGAGAGAUCCAAGAGCCCAGACCCAACAUUAGUACAAAAAUGGUUUCAUUUAAAAUUUUUAAAGCUUUACUAUUCUCUUUAUUUAACAGAAAAUGUGAUUGAUCUUUGAAAUUUUUUUUUUUUUUUUGAUUUUCGAGACAAGGUUUCUCUGUGUAGCUUUGCGCCUUUCUUGGAACUCGCUUUGGAGACCAGGCUGGCCUCGAACUCACAGAGAUCCACCUGGCUCUGCCUCUCGAGUGCUGGGAUUAAAGGCGUGCGCCACCACUGCCCGGCCAGACCUUUGAAUUUUUGACAUAAAAUUUCUAUUUAGUGUAUUAAAUCAACCAAUUAAUAAACUUCAUCAUUAAAUAUCUGCAUCUCAGAAAAAAAACAGAAUUCAUUCAGAAUCUCACAUGUUUGCAUUAGCUCACAGUAGAGACUUAGGAGCUCAUCUAGAGCCUGAUGCAGUGGCACUUUAAGUGACAUUUCCUAGAGCCAAAUAUCUCCCUGCUCUCCAAUUUCAGACAUCUUUCUGAACUCCCUCUUCCAUCCUCUUUACCCAGUGGGGGAAAAAAACUAACAGGCCAAAAUCACUUGACCCCUUCACCUAGCAAACGAUAAAACCUUAAACAGAAUCAGACACAACAAAGUAAGCAUACAGUUAAUGGAACCAGAUGAGAAUGAGUUCUGUGAAAUAAUAAGGUGGAAAAUUAUCACCAAGGAAAGGUUGGGUCUUCUCUAACUGUGGCAGCCAAAGCAGGCUCACUAAUUAGAUUACUACUCUCCAGAACUCUGACAAAGGGCUCCUCACCACAGUUCUCAUACCUUUAAACAACUCAUCUCAUUUGAUCAGGUGGGUUAAAAAAAUGAAUGUCUGCUAAUUAGCACUAAUUGAUUUCACCUGACAUAACUGUACUCUGAGCAGUCUUGGGGAUACCCUGUGGGGAAGUCAGAAAGGGUUGCUUAUGCAGUAGAUAGCAAAACCUGCACAGUACUUAGGAGGAAAUUAUACAAUUUUAACAAGCAAAAAAAUAGAACCAAAAAAUUAAGGCAUUAUUCUGUUGCCACUAAUCUUAUAAUUGUUUGGUUCUAUUUUGAUUCUUUAAAACUUUCUUAAGGUAUGAAUUUUAUAUCAAAACUUAUAAGAUUAAUAUAUAUAUUUUAACUUUUGUCAUGAUAUUGGUGGUCAUGUAGAGUACUAACUAAUUCUAGAAAAAAGGCUUCAUCUAGUUGUCUGUAGAUGUUUUCAUGUUUGAGUCUCUAUCAGUUUUAUGCAGGGAAUCAUGACCAUGCCUAACAGCAAAUUUGAAGUCUAUAAAAAGAUAAUGGGGCCCCACAACGAUGAUUCCAUCAGGAUGAUGAUAAUACCAUUAAGCUGACAAAUACUACCCAAAGAUCAGCUUUGGACUAUAAACUGCUCAGGACAAUUUGGAGAUGGCUAGCUGAGAUGACUCAGCCUCACAAACUACUGGAGCAAGGACUUGAGGCAAGCCCUGCAUUUUUGUAUUGUGCAGAGACUGGACAACAAAUGAUACAGCUACCUCUCCCAGGACUUGACAAUUAUCUCAAAAAUUCUUUUCAGGAUCCCCUAAAGAUGCCUUUGGCCCCAUACAGUAGGAAGUAAUUUUAAGAACACAAGGCCCACAUUCCCAAAAGGUGGGUGAGACAUGUCUGCUCCUGGCAGCACCAAUCUGCUUCAGAGAAGACAAUGGGCACUGAAGAAAUACCAUAUGGAGUUUACUUUCAUUGUGGCAAAAGUUAGCCACUGGGCAAGAAAGUAGCUUCAAAUGGACUGCUGACAGUAUACUGUCCAAAAUGGACAAGCAGGACACAAAACAAAGGACUGCUGAUCCUUGCCAAAACAAGAUAAGAAGGCUCUUUAGAAACUCCUGCUUCACAGAUGAGUCUGUCAGAUAUGCUAAGCCUGUAGGCCGAAGAUGAUGCUCCAACGUUGCAGAGAAACCUCAGGGGACUGUCCAGGCAGCCGGCUAUUUCUGUCAUAACUCAAAUUUUUUGGAAGUCACAUGUUUGCACUCCCUCCUUACUCAGGUAAUAUUAUUUCCUUCUCAGGUCUCUAAGAAAUUGAAGAUUAGACAGUUAUAGUUUUCCUUGUUAAGAAAUUCAGAAAAGAAACUCACUAAAGAGGUGUAAAGUGUUUAAGUUUGAAAGACUUCAAAAGAUCGUUUUGGUUAUGCAAAUUAGAAGAUAAAUUAGAUACAAUCCUUUGAAUUCACAAAAAUAGGAUAGAUAAUGGAAUAUUUGCUCUGAAUUUGUCAAAUGAAAGUGAACUAGACAUUGUUGAUGUAUUUAUUUCUUGUAUAUAUUGUAUAUAGUUAUUGUACUUAUUGUGUAUAGUUUUUCUUAUAUCAGUUAUAAUUUUUUAACUUUUAAUUUUAGACAAAAAGGGGAAAUGUAGUGAUAUAUUGUGUCCUCCAAUGUAUUGUGCACCCUAAUAAAGCUUAUCUGAGAAUCAGAGGAAAAAGCCAGCCACUAUAGUAAACAUAGAAAUCAGGCAAUGGUAGCACACACCUUUAAUCCUAGCAUUCAGGAGGCAGAGAUCCAUUUGGAUCUCUGUGAGUUCAAGGCCGCACUGGGAACAGAGCUAGGCAUGGUGACACACACCUUUAAUGCCAGCACUAACCAUAGAGGUCUGGAGGUCUGUACGGAAAGACAGGAAUUGAUGUAGCUGGGCUGAGAGAGGAAGUGAGAUGCAGAACAGAAAGGUAUAUAGGAAGUAGAUCUCUCUGGCUGAGGAUUCCCAAGUGCUAAGAAUAUGGCUGGCUUCUUUCUGCCUUUCUGGUCUCUCAGUUUUCACCCCAA